GACAACCUGGUGUCUACCUGUGGUCCU
rnacentral:piRNA from 1 species